rnacentral:rRNA from 1 species
UACGGGGGGGAGCAAGCGUUGUUCGGAUUUACUGGGCGUAAAGGGCGCGUAGGCGGCCACCGCAAGUCGACUGUGAAAUCUCCGGGCUUAACCCGGAAAGGUCAGCCGAUACUGCGGGGCUAGAGUGCAGAAGGGGCAACUGGAAUUCUCGGUGUAGCGGUGAAAUGCGUAGAUAUCGAGAGGAACACCUGCGGCGAAGGCAGGUCACUGGGCCGCAACUGACGCUGAGGAGCGAAAGCAUGGGGAGCGAACAGG